AUACAUGAAUCUCAUAUGGCUACAUCGAGCAACUUGUACAGGCUGAUUCUGUCUUAAAACUGUGUUAUGAUUCCUAUGACAUGGUUUUAGGAAAAUUGCUAGGGUAUCGUGUUCCUCUGCUGCCACUCACGAAUCAUGGGAUAGAAAAUUGCUCGGGAUGUUGAAUCUGAUUCUGAUUCUGAAACUUUGCUACCUUCUUGUGAGAGUAUACAUGGCUUAGAAACAUCAGAAGACAGGAAAAGUUUCAAGGGUAACAAUUAAAGCUCCAAUCAUGAUGGAAAGAAAUCACUAGCAGUGUCUGACGGUGCCCAGUGGGAUGUUUUUCGCAGACAAGAUGUUCCCAAGCUUAUAGAUUAUCUCAAAAGGCAUUCUAAUGAGUUUGCUUGCCACAAGCGGAAAUCUUAUGAGACAAAACAGUAUAAGAAGGGGUUGAAGGCUGCAGACACUAUAUUGAAAAAGUUUCUAGACCAUGGAGGUAUAUUGAGAUGAAUUUUUUGGAGCAAUUCUUGACAACAUUUGUAGUUGAGGCCUUUAGAAUGGAAGAAUGUAUUUCACUAAUUUUUGUAUACAUUUCUUGUUUUGUAUUUAGUGAUAAAGGAAUCUGAAUUGGGCAUAAAUUAUGUUGUAAUAUGAUUUCUUAAGCCUAGACUAGUAGACUAAAUAUUGUAAUUACAUUUGAGUAAUUAAUAAAAAUCUAUUUAUGUUACUUUAUUUGGCUUCAA